rnacentral:rRNA from 1 species
AUUGAACGCUGGCGGCAGGCCUAACACAUGCAAGUCGAGCGAGCGUCGGACUGGUGUGUAAUGUAUGGGGAUCUGCCCGUUAGAGGGGGAUCACUACUUGAAACGGUGUCUAAUACCGCAUACUAUCGUAUGCACCCCUUUGGGAUUAGCUAUUAGGUGGGGUAAAGGCUCACCUAGGCGACGAUCUCUAGCUGGUCUGAGAGGAUGAUCAGCCACACUGGGACUGGGACACGGCCCUGACUCCUACGGGAGGCAGCAGUGGGGAAUAUUGCACAAUGGGCGCAAGCCUGAUGCAGCCAUGCCGCGUGUAUGAAGAAGGCCUUAGGGUUGUAAAGUACUUUCAGCGGGGAGGCGUUACCAGAAGAAGAAGCACCGGCUAACUCCGUGCCAGCAGCCGCGGUAAUUG